rnacentral:lncRNA from 1 species
GGAACUUGAUUGGCUCAGCCAUCAGGUAUUUUAAAAAAGAAAUGAGUGAAGAGGAAGAUUCUGCGUCUAGAAUUCAAACCAGAUGAUGUAAGAGAAAUUCUAAGCUAUCGGUGGGGAAAUGGAGGAAUAAAACACGAGGAAACAGAUGGAAAUCCCGAGCCCGGGGCCGCAGCCCCAGGCGGCCUGGCAGCAAAGCCUUGUGCUGCGCUCCACUUCAGCCAACUUUCCCUCAAACUCUCUGCUUUAACCACAAGCUGGCCAACUCAGGUAUGACUUAGCUAUUGCGGAACAGUAAGGAAGAAAAUGCGUUUCUGCUUCAGGCCUGGCUAACAGCUUCCUUCCAGAUCUCCAAAUCAGUUUGUCCCAUGGGUAGAUUGUUUUGUUAUGUUGCACCAAAAUGUUUGUAAAAGCUUUUCUGUUGGAAGGAAAGCCUGUCUGAGAGGAUAUGGAUGUUCAACUAUAGGCAUUCUGCAUCCAAGAGUUCCGUAUCCGAGGACACAGAGGCCUUACUGGAUACCGCAGCAUUUUACGUAGGGGACUUGAGAAUCUUCAGAUAGGAGAAUCCCUUGGAGGGCCUGGGAAAUAAUCCACUUCAGAUACAGAGGAAAGACUGUAUAUCGAUACGAAAGAAUCAGAUAAAAGAGCUGUGUUCUAGGUACCCUCUAAGCCAGCCAGGGGGAACCAUGGAGAGAUGAGAUGGACUGGGAAAAAGGCAAGACAACUGUCCAGCCCUCCAAUUGAAUUACAUCCUCAAAACUCAGACUCUCGAGCCAGAGCCCUAAUCAUUGGGGGUCAACAGACAAGGUCACUGCUGUCUUCCUAUGUGCAGCCCAGGACCCUUCCUCAGGUUGCUGUGGGGUCGAUGGAGGGCAUCGUAGUAACCAAGCCCUUUCAGAUUGUGACUCGCUGGUCCUGGGCCCACCCUGUCCCACCUCUCAACGACCCGUGUGGGGAGAAGUUGUAGAAUCAAGUUGGGUCUCACAGGAUGACCUGCCAAACAGGACGUGACCAGCAAUGGCCCCAGCCUUUGACCAGGGUUCCGUCUUCUUAUAGAAUAUUCUUCCCACUCUUGUUAUCACAAGUGAGGCCUGAUCCGUACUGGCUGUCCAUCCUCCCAAAGGUUAGUUAAUGUAUCAUGUCACCUUGGCUCAUCGACGCCAAAGGUGGCUGCAUCUAGGAAUUAUGUGACCUUUGCUCAAAUUCUUCUUUAUUCAUGAUAUAGCAGCAUGAGGUUAAUCUGCUGCUGCUGCUAAGUUGCCUCAGUUGUGUCCGACUGUGUGCGACCCCGUAGACAGCAGCCCACCAGGCUCCCCCGUCCCUGGGAUUNNNNNNNNNNNNNNNNNNNNNNNNNNNNNNNNNNNNNNNNNNNNNNNNNNNNNNNNNNNNNNNGAAAGUGAAGUCGCUCAGUCGUGUCCAACCCUCUGCAACCCCAUGGACCACAGCCUACCAGGCUCCUCCAUCCAUGCGGUUUUCCAGGCGAGAGUACUGGAGUAGGAUGCCAUCGCCUUCUCUGAGAUAAUAGCUAAAAUGAAUAAUAAAAUCAGUAUAUCAAAAGAGCUAAUUUAUCCCCCCAAAAUAGAGAAGUUUAUCUCUGUUU